rnacentral:rRNA from 1 species
CCUACGGGAGGCAGCAGUGAGGAAUAUUGGUCAAUGGACGCAAGUCUGAACCAGCCAUGCCGCGUGCAGGAAGACGGCUCUAUGAGUUGUAAACUGCUUUUGUACGGGGGUAAACGCAGAUACGCGUAUCUGUCUGAAAGUAUCGUACGAAUAAGGAUCGGCUAACUCCGUGCCAGCAGCCGCGGUAAUACGGAGGAUUCAAGCGUUAUCCGGAUUUAUUGGGUUUAAAGGGUGCGUAGGCGGUCGGAUAAGUUAGAGGUGAAAUCCCGAGGCUCAACUUCGGAAUUGCCUCUGAUACUGUUCGGCGAGAGAGUAGUUGCGGUAGGCGGAAUGUAUGGUGUAGCGGUGAAAUGCUUAGAGAUCAUACAGAACACCGAUUGCGAAGGCAGCUUACCAAGCUACUUCUGACGUUGAGGCACGAUAGCGUGGGGAGCAAACAGGAUUAGAUACCCGAGUAGUC